rnacentral:rRNA from 1 species
CCUACGGGCGGCUGCAGUGGGGAAUAUUGGACAAUGGGGGCAACCCUGAUCCAGCCAUGCCGCGUGUGUGAAGAAGGCCCUCGGGUUGUAAAGCACUUUCAGUGAGGAAGAACGCCUGGUGGUUAAUACCCAUCAGGAAAGACAUCACUCACAGAAGAAGCACCGGCUAACUCCGUGCCAGCAGCCGCGGUAAUACGGAGGGUGCGAGCGUUAAUCGGAAUUACUGGGCGUAAAGCGCGCGUAGGUGGCCUGAUAAGCCGGUUGUGAAAGCCCCGGGCUCAACCUGGGAACGGCAUCCGGAACUGUCAAGCUAGAGUGCAGGAGAGGAAGGUAGAAUUCCCGGUGUAGCGGUGAAAUGCGUAGAGAUCGGGAGGAAUACCAGUGGCGAAGGCGGCCUUCUGGACUGACACUGACACUGAGGUGCGAAAGCGUGGGUAGCAAACAGGAUUAGAUACUCUAGUAGUC